rnacentral:sRNA from 1 species
GGGUGAGCAUCCUUUGUUAGCUAACCCUAACUAAGAUGGGCAUAGGCGCCGCACUUCUGCUCCCUGCACGCUGUUUUUCUCACUGACUUUCAGCAGGUGGAAAAGCUCCAUCCUUUUGCCGUCCACUAUGAUGUCUGGAGCAAACAAAAAAUGUCAUUUGCUGGCCGGCUCGCCC